GAUCAUCGACAACACGGGAAAGGAGAACGGGAUCAACAUCGUGAUGCCAGAGAGGACCUUCCAGCUGAUCGCAGAAACUCCAGAGGACGCCAGCCAGUGGUUCAGCGUGCUGAGUCAGGUGCACGGCUCCACAGAGCAGGAGAUCAGAGAGAUGCACGACGAGCAGGCCAACCCCCAGAACGCUGUGGGCACGCUGGACGUCGGGAUGAUCGACUCGGUGUGUGCGUCAGAUAAUCCAGAGAGG